CCUACGGGUGGCUGCAGUGAGGAAUAUUGGUCAAUGGACGAGAGUCUGAACCAGCCAAGUAGCGUGAAGGAUGACUGCCCUAUGGGUUGUAAACUUCUUUUAUAUGGGAAUAAAAUGUUCCACGUGUGGGAUUUUGUAUGUACCAUAUGAAUAAGGAUCGGCUAACUCCGUGCCAGCAGCCGCGGUAAUACGGAGGAUCCGAGCGUUAUCCGGAUUUAUUGGGUUUAAAGGGAGCGUAGGUGGAGUGUUAAGUCAGUUGUGAAAGUUUGCGGCUCAACCGUAAGAUUGCAGUUGAAACUGGCAGUCUUGAGUACAGUAGAGGUGGGCGGAAUUCGUGGUGUAGCGGUGAAAUGCUUAGAUAUCACGAAGAACUCCGAUUGCGAAGGCAGUUCACUGGACUGCCACUGACAUUGAGGCUCGAAAGUGUGGGUAUCAAACAGGAGUAGAUACCCCUGUAGUC
rnacentral:rRNA from 1 species